AAGGAAUCUUCCACAAUGGGCGAAAGCCUGAUGGAGCAAUGCCGCGUGCAGGAAGACGCUUUUCGGAGUGUAAACUGCUUUUCUGAAGGAAGAUUAUGACGGUACUUCAGGAAUAAGGAUCGGCUAACUACGUGCCAGCAGCCGCGGUAAUACGUAGGAUCCAAGCGUUAUCCGGAAUUACUGGGCGUAAAGCGUGCGCAGACGGUUUGAUAGGUCGAUUGCGAAAUCCCGUGGCUCAACCAUGUGGACUGUAAUCGAAACCAUCUGACUAGAGGUAGGUAGAGGCAAGUGGAAUUUCUGGUGUAGGGGUGACAUCCGUAGAUAUCAGAAGGAACACCAAUGGCGAAGGCAGCUUGCUGGGCCUUACCUGACGUUCAGGCACGAAAGCGUGGGGAGCAAAC
rnacentral:rRNA from 1 species